rnacentral:rRNA from 1 species
CCUACGGGAGGCAGCAGUGAGGAAUAUUGGUCAAUGGACGAGAGUCUGAACCAGCCAAGUAGCGUGAAGGAUGACUGCCCUAUGGGUUGUAAACUUCUUUUAUAUGGGAAUAAAAUGUUCCACGUGUGGGAUUUUGUAUGUACCAUAUGAAUAAGGAUCGGCUAACUCCGUGCCAGCAGCCGCGGUAAUACGGAGGAUCCGAGCGUUAUCCGGAUUUAUUGGGUUUAAAGGGAGCGUAGGUGGUUUGUUAAGUCAGUUGUGAAAGUUUGAGGCUCAACCGGAAAAUUGCAGUUGACACUGGCAGUCUUGAGUACAGUAGAGGUGUGCGGAAUUCGUGGUGUAGCGGUGAAAUGCUUAGAUAUCACGAAGAACUCCGAUUGCGAAGGCAGCUCACUGGACUGCAACUGACACUGAGGCUCGAAAGUGUGGGUAUCGAACAGGAUUAGAUACCCCAGUAGUC